CCUACGGGUGACAGCAGUGAGGAAUAUUGGUCAAUGGGCGCUAGCCUGAACCAGCCAAGUAGCGUGAAGGAUGACUGCCCUAUGGGUUGUAAACUUCUUUUAUAUGGGAAUAAAGUGCAGUAUGUAUACUGCUUUGCAUGUACCUUAUGAAUAAGGAUCGGACAACUCCGUGCCAGCAGCCGCGGUAAUACGGAGGAGGCGAGCGUUAUCCGGAUUUAUUGGGUUUAAAGGGAGCGUAGGCGGGUAGUUAAGUCAGUUGUGAAAGUCUGCGGCUCAACCGUAAAAUUGCAGUUGAUACUGGGAUCCUAGAGUACAGUAGAGGUAGGCAGAAUUCGUAGUGUAGCGGUGAAAUGCUUAGAGAUCACGAAGAACUCCGAUUGCGAAGGCAGCCUGCUGGACUGUAACUGACGCUGAUGCUCGAAAGUGUGGGUAGCAAACAGGAUUAGAUACCCUAGUAGUC
rnacentral:rRNA from 1 species